UGUCAUGCAAACCUCCUCUGUUGUGACUACAGGAGUCGUAUCUCACAGGUAUGGGGAGCAAGCAGGUGAGAUCACAAAAGAAGGUAUGAAUGCUGCAGGGCAUGCUUUCGGGACUGCAUGGGCUGUCUUCAAAAUACGCAAAGCACUGAAUCCCAAGAGUGCGGUGAAACCAACCUCUCUGGCCAAGUCUGCUGUGAAGGCAGCGGCGGCUGAUCUGAAGGCUGUGAAGGCAGCAGCGACUGAUCUGAAGGCUAAGAAGGGGAAGAAGUGAAUUUCUG
rnacentral:misc_RNA from 1 species